rnacentral:tRNA from 1 species
GAGAGAUGGCUGAGUGGCCGAAGGCAGCGGUUUGCUAAACCGUCGCAUUGGGAUUACCGGUGCCGGGGGUUCGAAUCCCCCUCUCUCC